rnacentral:rRNA from 1 species
UACCAGCACCCCGAGUGGUCGGGACGAUUAUUGGGCCUAAGGCAUCCGUAGCCGGUCAUGCAAGUCUUCCGUUAAAUCCAGCCGCUCAACGGUUGGGCUGCGGAGGAUACUACGUGGCUAGGAGGCGGGAGAGGCAAGCGGUACUCAGUGGGUAGGGGUAAAAUCCUUUGAUCCAUUGAAGACCACCAGUGGCGAAGGCGGCUUGCCAGAACGCGCUCGACGGUGAGGGAUGAAAGCUGGGGAGCAAACCGGG